rnacentral:lncRNA from 1 species
AGGGGAGACAAGCAAGAGAAUAAAGUUUUGGAUACAGAGCUUAAAUCAUCACUCGGCAAAGGAACUUGGCGUUAGGAGGGCCAAUUUCAAGAGCCAGUCUGAGACCACCCAGCAGGGAACCAGAAUAACAGCACCUGGUUCAGUGAUCUGGUCUCUCUGUCCUCUCUGCUGCAGGAACUGAGUUUCACUUUUCUGAGAGAAAUGUCUUGGUUUGGAUGAUAAAUGAUAUGGUCACAGAUGCUUCAUUCCACCCUUGAAUUCCUGCUGACCCUAUUAAUAAGGACCAGCUUCAGGGUUCACUUGGGGAGCUCCUGAGGUUGUGAGCCAGCAGUGCCCUUCAGGAGUGCAGACAACCAAAGAAUAGAAAUGUUUCCAUUGUCUCCCCUCUGCUUUUUCAUCUCCCCCAUUACCUGACACAUUCCAAGGUGUUGAUAUCAAUCAUGUAAGUGAUAACUAUUGCUUUUCCUUCUUCCUAAUGAAAGAGAAAUAGCAGUAUAUAUUAUUUAAAUAUGAACAAUGUUUGC